rnacentral:rRNA from 1 species
AGAGUUUGAUCCUGGCUCAGGACGAACGCUGGCGGCGUGCCUAACACAUGCAAGUCGAACGAAGCUUGACGAAUGAUUUCUUCGGAAUGAAAUCUGAUAUGACUGAGUGGCGGACGGGUGAGUAACGCGUGAGCAACCUGCCCUUCGGAACGGGAUAGUGUCUGGAAACGGACAGUAAUACCGUAUAACGUAUUUUUACCGCAUGAUAGAAAUACCAAAACUGAGGUGCCGAAGGAUGGGCUCGCGUCUGAUUAGAUAGUUGGUGGGGUAACGGCCUACCAAGUCGACGAUCAGUAGCCGGACUGAGAGGUUGAACGGCCACAUUGGGACUGAGACACGGCCCAGACUCCUACGGGAGGCAGCAGUGGGGAAUAUUGCACAAUGGGGGAAACCCUGAUGCAGCAACGCCGCGUGAAGGAAGACGGUUUUCGGAUUGUAAACUUCUGUUCUUAGUGAAGAAUAAUGACGGUAGCUAAGGAGCAAGCCACGGCUAACUACGUGCCAGCAGCCGCGGUAAUACGUAGGUGGCAAGCGUUGUCCGGAAUUACUGGGUGUAAAGGGAGCGUAGGCGGGAUGCCAAGUCAGCUGUGAAAACUAUGGGCUUAACCUGUAGACUGCAGUUGAAACUGGUAUUCUUGAGUGAAGUAGAGGUUGGCGGAAUUCCGAGUGUAGCGGUGAAAUGCGUAGAUAUUCGGAGGAACACCGGUGGCGAAGGCGGCCAACUGGGCUUUAACUGACGCUGAGGCUCGAAAGUGUGGGGAGCAAACAGGAUUAGAUACCCUGGUAGUCCACACUGUAAACGAUGAU